CCCUUAGAUGUUCUGGGCAGCACGCGCGCUACAAUGGUCUUCGCAAACGGAUGCAUUCUCGAAGGAGAAUGCCAAUCUUGGAAUCUAUGCCUUGGUCGGGACAGUUGCUUGCAAUUUUUCGACUUGAACCAGGAAUUCCUUGUAAUCGUGAUUCAUCACAUCACGAUGAAUACGUCCCUGCCCUUUGUACACACCGCCCGUCGCUCCUACCGAUCGAAGAGUUAGGUGAAUUGUUUUGAUCGAUAAGAUUUGACUAUGGUCAACUCUCGUUGGGAAAUUCUGUGAAUCUGACUGUUUAGAGGAAGGAAAAGUCGUAACA
rnacentral:rRNA from 1 species